UACGAAGGGGGCUAGCGUUGUUCGGAAUUACUGGGCGUAAAGCGCACGUAGGCGGACUAUUAAGUCAGGGGUGAAAUCCCGGGGCUCAACCCCGGAACUGCCCUUGAUACUGGCGGUCUCGAGUCCGGGAGAGGUGAGUGGAACUGCGAGUGUAGAGGUGAAAUUCGUAGAUAUUCGCAAGAACACCAGUGGCGAAGGCGGCUCACUGGCCCGGUACUGACGCUGAGGUGCGAAAGCGUGGGGAGCAAACAGG
rnacentral:rRNA from 1 species